CGCGGGGUGGAGCAGUCUGGUAGCUCGUCGGGCUCAUAACCCGGAGGUCGCUGGUUCAAAUCCAGCCCCCGCCACCA
rnacentral:tRNA from 1 species